rnacentral:rRNA from 1 species
GCCUAUAACAUGCAAGUCGAGCGGCAGCACGGGGAGCUUGCUCCCUGGUGGCGAGCGGCGGACGGGUGAGUAAUGCAUAGGAAUCUGCCCGGUAGUGGGGGAUAACGUGGGGAAACCCACGCUAAUACCGCAUACGUCCUACGGGAGAAAGCGGAGGCUCUUCGGACUUCGCGCUAUCGGAUGAGCCUAUGUCGGAUUAGCUAGUUGGUAAGGUAACGGCUUACCAAGGCGACGAUCCGUAGCUGGUCUGAGAGGAUGAUCAGCCACACUGGGACUGAGACACGGCCCAGACUCCUACGGGAGGCAGCAGUGGGGAAUAUUGGACAAUGGGCGAAAGCCUGAUCCAGCCAUGCCGCGUGUGUGAAGAAGGCUUUCGGGUUGUAAAGCACUUUCAGCGAGGAAGAAAGCCUUUGGGUUAAUACCCCAGAGGAAGGACAUCACUCGCAGAAGAAGCACCGGCUAACUCCGUGCCAGCAGCCGCGGUAAUACGGAGGGUGCGAGCGUUAAUCGGAAUUACUGGGCGUAAAGCGCGCGUAGGUGGCUUGGCACGCCGGUUGUGAAAGCCCCCGGGCUCAACCUGGGGAACGGCAUCCGGAACGGCCAGGCUAGAGUGCAGGAGAGGAAGGUAGAAUUCCCGGUGUAACGGUGAAAUGCGUAAAGAUCGGGAGGAAUACCAGUGGCGAAGGCGGCCUUCUGGCCUGACACUGACACUGAAGUGCGAAAGCGUGGGUAGCAAACAGGAUUAAAUACCCUGGUAGUCCACGCCGUAAACGAUGUCGACUAGCCGUUGGGACCUUUAAGGACUUAAUGGCGCAGUUAACGCGAUAAGUCGACCCGCCUGGGGAGUACGGCCGCAAGGUAAAACUCAAAUGAAUUGACGGGGGCCCGCACAAGCGGUGGAGCAUGUGGUUUAAUUCGAUGCAACGCGAAGAACCUUACCUACCCUUGACAUCCUGCGAACCCGGAAGAGAUUCCGGGGUGCCUUCGGGAACGCAGUGACAGGUGCUGCAUGGCUGUCGUCAGCUCGUGUUGUGAAAUGUUGGGUUAAGUCCCGUAACGAGCGCAACCCUUGUCCUUAUUUGCCAGCGAUUCGGUCGGGAACUCUAAGGAGACUGCCGGUGACAAACCGGAGGAAGGUGGGGACGACGUCAAGUCAUCAUGGCCCUUACGGGUAGGGCUACACACGUGCUACAAUGGCCGGUACAAAGGGUUGCGAGACCGCGAGGUGGAGCGAAUCCCAGAAAGCCGGCCUCAGUCCGGAUCGGAGUCUGCAACUCGACUCCGUGAAGUCGGAAUCGCUAGUAAUCGUGAAUCAGAAUGUCACGGUGAAUACGUUCCCGGGCCUUGUACACACCGCCCGUCACACCAUGGGAGUGGACUGCACCAGAAGUGGUUAGCUUAACCUUCGGGAGACAGGAUACCAC